rnacentral:lncRNA from 1 species
GUGUGUGAAACUUUUGAGAAUUGUGGUUGAACUCCUUUGAUGAAGCUCUUGUUGGCACCAUAAAUUUGUUUUGCUUCACACUGUCUUGAUCAAGAGUGUGAAGUUUUUGAGAAUUGUGGUUGAACUCCUUUGAUGAAGCUCUUAUUAGCACCAUAAAUUGGUUUUGCUUCACACUGUCUUGAUCAAGAGUGUGUGAAGCUUUUGAGAAUUGUGGUUAAACUCCUUUGAUGAAGCUCUUGUUGGCACCAUAAAUUGAUUUUGCUUCACACUAUCUUGAUCAAGAGUGUAUGAAGCUUUUGAGAAUUGUGGUUGAACUCCUUUGAUGAAGCUCUUGUUGACACCAUAAAUUGAUGAAGCUAAUAUGUUCACCUCCUCCCCCCCCCCCAUUUUUUCCGAUUUUUUUUAGGGGGAAAGGGGGUGCUGCAAGUUUGAAAUUUGAAAACUCCCUAGCUUGUGUGGAAGUUUGAAGACUUUCCAUGUGGGGUUUUCUCAUGGUUUGAAUUUUAAUUUUGAAUUUCUUUGGCCAUGUUAAACCCUAUAAGAAUGAGAAGUUUCCAUUAUUUUCAUUGUCUUCAUUUGCUCAUUUUGUAGUGAUUUUUGGAGAUAGAGUGCUCUUAUAAUUGAGAGGGAUUCCGACAUUGCUUUGCACCAUCUUCAAGUUGGUAGUCUUCUCCACUAGAUCACAUGCUUUCAUUCUUGUUGAAUUGUUUGAGUGUUCAUGUAUUUGGUUGAGAA